rnacentral:rRNA from 1 species
UUCCGGUUGAUCCUGCCGGAGGCGACCGCUUUGGGAGUUCGAUUAAGCCAUGCGAGUCGUGAGUCUUAGGGACUCGGCAUACUGCUCAGUAACACGUGGAUAACCUGCCCUAUCGUCUGGAAUAACCUCGGGAAACUGAGAAUAAGGCCGGAUAGUUCACAAUGCCUGGAACGGUUUGUGAAUCAAGGUAGGAUGGGUCUGCGGCGUAUCAGGUUGUAGGGGGUGUAAAGGACCCCCUAGCCUUCGACGCGUACGGGUGUUGGGAGACAUAGCCCGGAGAUGGAUUCCGAGACACGAAUCCAGACCCUACGGGGUGCAGCAGGCGCGAAAACUUCACACUGCAGGAAACUGUGAUGAGGGAACUCCUAGUGCAUGCACUAUGUGUAUGUAGAUCCUACUCUUAACAAGUAGAGGGAAAGGGCUGGGAAAGACCGGUGCCAGCCGCCGCGGUAAUACCGGCAGCUCAAGUGGUCGUCGCUUUUAUUGGGCCUAAAACGUCCGUAGCCUGUUUGGUAAAUCUGUGGGUAAAUCAACUCGCUCAACGAGUUGAAUUCUGCAGAGACUGCCAGACUAGGGACCGGGAGAGGUGUGGGGUACUCGAGGGGUAGGGGUAAAAUCCUGUCAUCCUUUGAGGACCACCAGUUGCGAAGGCGCCACACUGGAACGGAUCCGACGGUCAGGGACGAAGCCUAGGGGCACGAACCGGAUUAGAUACCCGGGUAGUCCUAGGUGUAAACGCUGUGAACUUGGUGUCGGGGGUCCGCAAGGGGUCCCCGGUGCCGGAGUGAAGAUGUUAAGUUCACUGCCUGGGGAGUACGGUCGCAAGGCUGAAACUUAAAGGAAUUGGCGGGGGAGCACUGCAACGGGAGGAGCGUGCGGUUUAAUUGGAUCAACGCCGGA